AAUGAACGCUGGCGGCAGGCCUAACACAUGCAAGUCGGGCGAGGGGCGGACAGGAGAGUAAUGUAUGGGGCCCUCCCUGAUGGCGGGGGCUAAAAACUGGAACCGGUAGCUAAUACCCAAUACCAUCAGCUGACCCCAUAUGGGAUUGGCUAGUAGGUAAGGUAACGGCUUACCGAGGCGACGAUCCCUAGCUGGUCUGAGGGGCUGCUCGGCGACACUGGGAGUGAGCCACGGCCCAGAGUCCUAAGGGAGGCAGCAGUGGGGAAUAGUGGACAAUGGGGGCAAGCCUGAUGCAGCCAUGCCGCGUGUAUUAAGAAGGCCUCGGGUUUGGAAAGUACUUUCAGUCGGUAGGCGGUAGCGACAGAAGAAGCACCGGCUAACUCCGUGCCAGCCGCCGCGGUAAUUC
rnacentral:rRNA from 1 species